UACUCAACUCUACAAUCUUCUCUAACGAA
rnacentral:piRNA from 1 species